CCUACGGGAGGCAGCAGUAGGGAAUAUUGCUCAAUGGGGGAAACCCUGAAGCAGCCACGCCGCGUGGAGGAUGAAUGUUUUCGGAUUGUAAACUCCUUUUUUUAGAGAAGAUAAUGACGGUAUCUAACGAAUAAGCACCGGCUAACUCCGUGACAGCAGCCGCGGUAAUACGGCGGGUGCAAGCGUUACUCGGAAGCACUGGGCGUAAAGAGCGCGUAGGCGGGUUAGCAAGUCAGAUGUGAAAUCAUUGGGCUUAACCAUAGAACUGCAUUUGAAACUGUUAUUCUAGAGUACGGGGGAGGUAGGUGGAAUGCUUGGUGUAGCGGUGAAAUGCGUAGAGAUCAAGAGGAAUACUCAUUGCGAAGGCAGCCUGCUAGAACAUAACUGACGCUGAUGCGCGAAAGCGUGGGGAGCAAACAGGAUUAGAUACCCGGGUAGUC
rnacentral:rRNA from 1 species